UUUUUGUGGAACUUUUCCCCACUUCCACUCUCUCUCUCUCUCUUUUCAAUCCCCACCCAUAAAUCUCCUUUUCCUUCUCUCCUCUCUCUGAAAACUUGAGCCUUUCUCUUUCUCUCUCUCUCUCUCUCACACACACUCUCUCUCUAUAUAUAUAAGAAAAAGAAAAAAAAAAAUCCAACUCGUGGCGUUUCUGAGAUCUACAAUCACUACUAGUUGUGAAGUGUGUAGGACUUCAGAGAUAGACAGAGAUUGGCACAGAAAGAUAAAAGCUUUGCAAAACCCAGAAUAGGAAAGCAAGGUUGUGUAUAGAAAUUUCAAUUGGGUAUCAACGUCAGUCUAUGGUGGCAUUCAUGUGAAUUUGGUUGAAGGUGUCUGAAGAUCACAGCUAGUGUUGGAAUAGCAGUUGCAAUUUGAAGCUGUGUUGUCCGAUUCAAGCAAGUUGCACCAUAGGGCCUGGCAGACUCGUUAUUUAUGUUCUCCAGAGAUUUGGCUUAGGCUUGCGCUUUACUGAGUUCAACUAUAAUUUAUCACAGAAUUUGCAAUGUCUCUGUGAAUGUCUUUUGGAUGUUGUAUUUUGUCUCUUCAAGACAGGGUUAGCAGCCAUGUGAUUUAAGUAUCAUACUGGUACCUUUAAAAAAAAAAAAAAACCUGGUACUUCUGUUUUGUGCAAAGUACCAAUCCAUAACAUGGAAGCUGAGAAUUUUAAUUCUUACCAUCUGCCAGAUGGUAUUAAUCGGCUACUUCCUGUUGUUGUACCUGUGCUUCUGGUUUCAGUUGGAUAUGUUGACCCUGGGAAGUGGGCAGCAACUGUUGAAGGUGGUGCCCGUUUUGGGUCUGAGCUGGUAGUAUUAAUGUUAAUUUUCAAUUUUGCUGCUAUUUUAUGUCAAUACCUGUCGGCUCGGAUUGGCUUGGUCACUGGAAGAGAUCUUGCUCAGAUUUGCAGUGAUGAGUACGAUAAGUUCACAUGCAUAAUCUUAGGAGUCCAAACAGAGGUUUCUGUGAUUGCGCUGGACCUUACCAUGAUCUUGGGCCUUGCACAUGGACUUAAUCUUCUUUUUGGGUGGGACUUGUUCACUUGUGUCUUUUUGACUGCUGUCAAUGCUGUUUUAUUUCCACCUUUUGCAAUCCUUUUGGAGAACUGCAAAGUAAAGUUCCUAUGCAUAUGCAUGUCAGGCUUUAUUUUUCUUUUUAUUGUUCUUGGAGUACUCAUUAGUCAACCAGAAAUCUCACCUUCAAUGAAUGGGAUGCUAACAAUUUCAAGUGGGGAGAGUGCAUUUGCACUGAUGAGUCUUCUUGGGGCAAGUAUCAUGCCUCAUAAUUUUUUUCUUCAUUCCUCUAUUGUACAGCAUCUGGGAUCACCAAACAUUUCCAAGGAUGCUUUGUGUCAUAACCAUUUUUUUGCCAUCUUUGGCGUGUUCAGUGGUAUUUAUGUGGUGAAUUAUGCGCUGAUGAUCUCAGCAGCAUCUGUCUUUAACAGUUCCGGCCUUGUUAUGCUUACUUUUCAGGAUGCAAUGACACUAAUGGAACAGGUGUUUAUGAGCCCCUUUGUCUAUCUAUUUGUUCUGUUUUUCUCAAAUCAAAUCACGUCAUUAACCUGGAGUCUAUGUGGACGAGUAGUUUUGCAUGAUUUCUUGAAGUUGGAUAUUCCUGGUUGGCUUCAUUGUGUUACAAUCAGAGUUAUUGCCAUUGUUCCUGCCCUUUACUGUGUGUGGAGUUUAGGAGCUGAAGGGAUGUAUCAACUACUUAUAUUCACACAGGUGAUGGUAGCUUUACUGCUUCCAUCUUCUGUGAUCCCCCUUUUCCGUGUUGCUGCAUCAAGAUCAAUAAUGGGUGUCUACAAAAUUUCUCAGAUUGUGGAGUUUUUAGCCAUUGUCACAUUUAUUGGGAUGCUAGGCUUGAAGCUUAUAUUUGUGGUAGAAAUGAUAUUUGGGAAUAGUGAUUGGGUAACUAAUUUGAAGUGGAAUAUGGGAAGCAGUAUAUCUUUCUCAUAUGUAGUUCUUCUUGUCACUGCUUGUGCAUCACUUUGUUUGAUGCUUUGGCUAUUAGCCACCCCAUUAAAAUCUGCUAGUGCUAGAUUAGAUGCUCAGGCGUGGGAUUGGGGCGUGCCAAAGGCUGUACCUGAUACAUCCACCGAGAGAGAAGAAUCUGAUUUAACUGGAAGUGCAUAUCACGGCGAGGCACCCAUUCAGAAGCAGGAACCAUCACUGGCACAGAGCAAGGGUUUGGAGAGUCAUUCAGAUGGACUAGUUGCAGAUCCUCGUAUCAACUUGCCUGAAACUAUUACUGAGCCUGAUCACAGGCAUCAGUUGACUACUGUAGAGGAAAAUCAUUCCAAUUCUACAUUUACUAGCUCCCUCACAUGUGGUGUGGAGGAAAUGCCAGUGGCGGUAGGGUCAGUCCCUGUCUCAGUUGUUCCUAAUGUGCUUUCUGAUGUUAAAUUGCUAGACACUAGAAGUGUGAAGUCAGAAUCAAUGGACCCUGUUGAGAAGAUUCUGGGAAUGGAGGGAGAUCUACAAACUGAAAAAGAUGAUGAUGAGGCAGAUACUUGGGAACAUGAUGAAUCAGGUAAAGGGGUUUCUGGGAGCACACAAUCUUUGACAUCUGAGGGUCCAGGAUCAUUUAGGAGUCUCAGUGGGAGAGGUGAUGAAGGAGGAAGUGGUACUGGAAGUCUUUCAAGAUUAGCAGGAUUAGGACGUGCUGCAAGGCGUCAGCUAGCUGGAGUUCUUGAUGAGUUUUGGGGACAACUGUUUGAUUUCCAUGGGCAAACUACUCAAGAAGCAAAGACUAAGAAACUGGAUGUUUUGCUGGGAGUGGAUUCUAAGCCUUCCUCUUCAUCACUGAAAGUGGAUACCACUGCACAGGAAUUUUCUGGAUACUUCACAUCGGUGGGAGGCAGGGGAUCUGAUCAUUUAAGCAACUCAAGUUUAUACAACUCUCCCAAGCAGCAGAAUGUGCAAAGGAGUACAGAGUCAGCAUAUGGGGUUCAAAGGGGAUCUUCCUCAAUGUGGUCCAACCAUGUGCAGUUGUUGGAUGCAUAUGUUCAGAAUUCAAGCCGCAAUGUCCCAGACUCCAGCGAGAGGCGCUAUUCUAGUGUGCGCAAUCUACCUUCCGUGGAAAGUUUGGAUUAUCAGCCCGCUACAGUACAUGGUUAUCAGCUUGCAUCCUAUCGAAUGGCUAUAGACAGAAACUCUGAUCACUUGAAUAGUCAAAUGGAGUCAACAGCUUUGAGAUCCCCACCAUUGGGUGUUACAAGCUAUAGUAGAGAUUCGAUGGCUUUUGCUUUAGGGCAAAAGUUGCAAAAUGGGUUAAGCUCUAGUCAUAACUCUAGUUUCCAGAAUCCGGCAAUAUCCAGAGAGAGUCAGUUGCAAUGCGAAAGAUCGUAUUAUGAUCCUUGCUCUUCUGGACCUGCUGAUACUGUUGUAAGUUCAGCCAACACGAAGAAAUACCAUAGCUUGCCGGACAUGUCAGGAUACUCUGUCCCUCAACGGGACUUAUACAUGUCUGAUAAGAGUGCACAAUGGGACAAUCCUAUUCAAUAUGGACCCUCUGUUAGUAGAACAGUUUAUGAACAGUCCUUAUAUCCAAAUUCUGGAUCAAGAACAGGAGCUCCUUUGGUAUUUGAUGAACUCUCUCCAACAAAAGUUUACAGAGAUGGUUUCUCUUCACAGUUGAAUUCUAGUUCCAGAUCCCUCUGGUCUAGACAACCUUUUGAGCAGUUUGGUGUAGCUGACAAAAAUCUUACUGUUGGGAGUGAAGGAGUUAGAAGUAGGUCAAGUUCAAUUACUCAAGAAGCUACUUCUACUGUGGAUUCAGAGGCCAAACUUCUUCAGUCUUUCAGACAUUGUAUUGUGAAGCUAUUGAAAUUGGAAGGAUCUGAUUGGUUAUUUAAACAAAAUGAUGGGGCUGAUGAGGAUCUAAUUGACCGAGUGGCCGCAAGAGAGAAAUUUCUUUAUGAAGCUGAAACUAGAGAGAUGAAUCGGGGGGUUCAAAUAGGUGAGCCUCAGUAUUCUUCUGAUAGGAAGUCUGGUUCUGCCAUGAGGAAUAGUGAUGCAGGUUUAAACAACUUUUUGAUUUCCUCUGUUCCUCAUUGUGGGGAGGGCUGUGUUUGGAGAUUAGAUUUGAUAGUGAGCUUUGGGGUGUGGUGCAUCCACCGGAUUCUUGACCUGUCACUCAUGGAAAGCCGGCCAGAGCUGUGGGGCAAAUAUACAUACGUAUUAAACCGUCUUCAGGGGAUAAUUGAUCCAGCAUUUUCAAAACCUCGUUCUCCAAUGACCCCAUGCUUCUGCCUUCAUAUCCCUGAGGCGUACCAGCAGAGGUCAAGUCCACCUGUUUCAAAUGGAAUGCUACCCCCUGCUUCAAAACCGGGCAGGGGGAAAUGCACAACUGCAGUGAUGGUCUUAGAUAUAAUCAAGGAUGUAGAGAUUGCAAUCUCUUGUAGAAAGGGCAGAACAGGCACUGCAGCUGGUGAUGUGGCUUUCCCAAAGGGUAAAGAAAAUCUUGCAUCUGUCCUAAAACGCUACAAGCGUCGUUUAUCUAACAAAUCUGUUGGUGCUCAUGAGGGGUCUGGGCCACGUAAGGUUCCUACAUCUUCCCCAUAUAUCUUGUAGCUCCCGCCCUCAGUUUCCAACAGGUUCAGUGAUUAUUGGGUUGCUUGAUUUUGGGAAGCAGCUCAUGCUCCUGAUCAGCUCUGUCCUCAGUUGUUAGAGACUCUAGGGGAAGACCAGACAUUGCAAUGAGGUUCAACUGUGUUGCAUUAUAAUCCUAAAUUUUAAAAGUUUUAAGAGAAUGCAAGGGAUCGCACUAACCAGGAGGAUGGCGAUGCGAAACAACAUACACUUAAUUCAUAUGUAGCUUGGGAAAGUUUUAUACAUUGUUUAUUCAUGGUUUGAAAAAUAGCACUUUGUCUAAUUGAGGUUAACUUCA